CCGCGUCGCUGCCUCCAGGGACUCUCCCAGGAGAGACCCGCGCGCUCCCGGCCUCGAGGAAGUCGCGUUUGAUGUCUACAUCGUCAUUUUUGGAGACGCUGUCAACUCUGACGAAUGAAGGAAUGUGGAAGCCAGGGGAAAUUGCACCUGCAGAAAGUGCUGGAAUUCCAGGGCCAACUCCUCUCAACUGUCCUUUAAGAGUACGUGGACCUUACUUGAUUGUUUGAGAUCCAGCAAUUGGAGUUUCCUAAAGGAAAUACCAGAAAUGGAAAUCCAUGCUCAUUGCAAACAUUUAAAUUUCUGAGUGGCCUGAAUUGAGCCAAGAGGCAAGGAUCCUACUGCCAUGGCCACACCAGCUCCUGUAAAAGCUGUAAACCUUCAGCUGAGGGUAGAAAGGCAGCCAUUUAGACACACGGGGGUAAUUUUUAGUUGGAAGGAAAGAAAAAAUGCUCCAAGUCAAGUUAGAAAAUUUAUAUUGGUACAAAAAUCCUUUGAACCUUAACAGUAAAUGGAUUUUGCUCAUUAUGUGGGUUGAUUUUCUCAGCGGCCCAUUGCAUGUGUGAAUCUGCGAUUCAUUCUCAGCAAAGAUGACUAAUGGAUCUUUUAGGAAUCUAAGCUUUAAAGUUGAUUUUCUGUGUUGGUCAUGGAAGCAGCUUGACUUUAGAUACUUUAUGAGAUGGUUGCCAAGGGAACUUGGGGCAAAAUUUCUCAGGAGUGUCUCUAAAAACAUUAUUCAUAAUUAAAAAGUGAUUCAUAGAAAUCACCAGAAAAAUUA